rnacentral:rRNA from 1 species
UAAGGAAUAUUGGACAAUGGUCGCAAGACUGAUCCAGCCAUGCCGCGUGCAGGAAGACGGCCCUAUGGGUUGUAAACUGCUUUUGUACCAGAGAAAACCUAUCUACGUGUAGAUAGCUGAUAGUAUGGUAAGAAUAAGCAUCGGCUAACUUCGUGCCAGCAGCCGCGGUAAGACGAAGGAUGCAAGCGUUAUCCGGAUUCAUUGGGUUUAAAGGGUGCGUAGGCGGGCUUGUAAGUCAGUGGUGAAAUCUCUCAGCUUAACUGAGAAACUGCCAUUGAUACUGCAGGCCUAGAGUAUAGAUGACGUUGGCGGAAUAUGACAUGUAGUGGUGAAAUGCUUAGAUAUGACAUAGAACACCAAUUGCGAAGGCAGCUUACUACAUAUAAAUUGACGCUGAGGCACGAAAGCGUGGGGAUCAAACA